CGGGGUAUAGCGCAGUUGGUAGCGCGCAUCCUUGGGGUGGAUGAGGUCGUGGGUUCAAAUCCCGCUACUCCGA
rnacentral:tRNA from 1 species